rnacentral:rRNA from 1 species
UACAGAGGGUGCGAGCGUUAAUCGGAAUUACUGGGCGUAAAGCGUGCGUAGACGGUUACAUAAGUCGGGUGUGAAAGCCCCGGGCUCAACCUGGGAAUUGCAUUCGAGACUGCGUAGCUAGGGUGCGGAAGAGGGAAGCGGAAUUUCCGGUGUAGCGGUGAAAUGCGUAGAUAAUCGGAAGGAACACCAGUGGCGAAAGCG